rnacentral:rRNA from 1 species
AGAGUUUGAUCCUGGNUCAGGAUGAACGCUGGCGGUAUGCUUAACACAUGCAAGUCGAACGAAGUGCUUCGGCACUUAGUGGCGGACGGGUGAGUAACGCGUGAGAAUCUGCCAAAAGGACUGGGACAACAGCUGGAAACGGCUGCUAAUACCGGAUAUGCCAGAAAGUGAAAUGGGUAAAACCGCCUUUUGAUGAGCUCGCGUCCGAUUAGCUAGUUGGUGGGGUAAAAGCCUACCAAGGCGACGAUCGGUAACUGGUCUGAGAGGAUGACCAGUCACACUGGGACUGAGACACGGCCCAGACUCCUACGGGAGGCAGCAGUGGGGAAUUUUCCGCAAUGGGCGAAAGCCUGACGGAGCAAUACCGCGUGAGGGAGGAAGGCUCUUGGGUUGUAAACCUCUUUUCUCAGGGAAGAACACAAUGACGGUACCUGAGGAAUCAGCAUCGGCUAACUCCGUGCCAGCAGCCGCGGUAAUACGGAGGAUGCAAGCGUUAUCCGGAAUGAUUGGGCGUAAAGCGUCCGCAGGUGGCUUUGCAAGUCUGCUGUCAAAGCUCAGGGCUUAACCCUGAAUCGGCGGUGGAAACUGAAAGGCUAGAGUGUGGUAGGGGCAGAGGGAAUUCCCAGUGUAGCGGUGAAAUGCGUAGAGAUUGGGAAGAACACCAGUGGCGAAAGCGCUCUGCUAGACCGCAACUGACACUCAUGGACGAAAGCUAGGGGAGCGAAUGGGAUUAGAUACCCCCGUAGUCC